GAUGAACGCUGGCGGCGUGCCUAAUACAUGCAAGUCGAGCGAACGGACGAGAAGCUUGCUUUUCUGAUGUUAGCGGCGGACGGGUGAGUAACACGUGGAUAACCUACCUAUAAGACUGGGAUAACUUCGGGAAACCGGAGCUAAUACCGGAUAAUAUUUUGAACCGCAUGGUUCAAAAGUGAAAGACGGUCUUGCUGUCACUUAUAGAUGGAUCCGCGCUGCAUUAGCUAGUUGGUAAGGUAACGGCUUACCAAGGCAACGAUGCAUAGCCGACCUGAGAGGGUGAUCGGCCACAAGGGAACUGAGACACGGUCCAGACUACUACGGGAGGCAGCAGUAGGGAAUAUUCCGCAAUGGGCGAAAGCCUGACGGAGCAACGCCGCGUGAGUGAUGAAGGUAUUCGGAUAGUAAAACUCUGUUAUUAGGGAAGAACAUAUGUGUAAGUAACUGUGCACAUCUUGACGGUACCUAAUCAGAAAGCCACGGCUAACUAAGGG
rnacentral:rRNA from 1 species